rnacentral:rRNA from 1 species
AACGUAGGGGGCGAGCGUUAUCCGGAUUUACUGGGCGUAAAGCGCACGUAGGCGGCGCCGUAAGUUGGGCGUGAAAGCUCUCGGCUUAACCGGGAGAGGUCGUUCAAAACUGCGGUGCUUGAGGUUGACAGAGGAGAGUGGAAUUCCCGGUGUAGUGGUGGAAUGCGUAGAUAUCGGGAGGAACACCAGUGGCGAAGGCGACUCUCUGGGUCAUACCUGACGCUGAGGUGCGAAAGCGUGUGGAUCGAACGGG